UACGUAGGGACCAAGCGUUGUUCGGAUUUACUGGGCGUAAAGGGCGCGUAGGCGGCUUGACAAGUCACUUGUGAAAUCUCCGGGCUUAACUCGGAACGGCCAAGUGAAACUGUCAUGCUAGAGUGCAGAAGGGGCAAUCGGAAUUCUUGGUGUAGCGGUGAAAUGCGUAGAUAUCAGGAAGAACACCAAUGGCGAAAGCAGCUUUCUGGGACGGUACUGACGCUGAGACGCGAAAGCGUGGGGAGCGAACAGG
rnacentral:rRNA from 1 species